GGAUAUUGGAAUAUAUCAUUGAUGUAUUUUAAAUGGUAAUUAAUGAGCUCAUAUGAAUCGAUUAUAUUGGUGUUUUUUUGUGUUUUGUUUUUAAGUUAAGUAAAGGAAAAGAAAGUGAAUUUUGUACAUUGCCAAUGAUGAUGAAUCAUUCAAAUGAUGACCGGCAUAUAUCGAUUAUAUAUAAAAAUAGAGUCAUCUUUCUCCAAGGACAUCUUGUAUAUUGGCAAAUAUCUCAAAU